GACGAACGCUGGCGGCGUGCUUAACACAUGCAAGUCGAACGGAAAGGCCCUGCUUUUGUGGGUUGCUCGAGUGGCGAACGGGUGUGUAACACGCGAGUAACCUGCCCUUGACUUUGGGAUAACUUCAGGAAAAUGGGGCUAAUACCGGAUAGGAGCAUCUGCUGCAUGGUGCGGUUUGGAAAGUUUCGGCGUUUGGGGAUGGCCUCGCGGCUUAUCAGCUUGUUGGUGGGGUGGUGGCUUACUAAGGCUCUGACGGGUAGCCGGCCUGAGAGGGUGACCGGCCACAUUGGGACUGGGAUACGACCCGUACUCCUACGGGAGGCAGCAGUGCGGAAUAUUGCGCAAUGGGCGGAAGCCUUAUGGAACGACGCCGCGUGCGGGAGGACGGCCUUCUGUUUGUAAACCGCGUUAGCCUGGGACGUAGCGUGAGUGACGGUAGUGGGUAAAUAAGCACCGGCUAACUACGUG
rnacentral:rRNA from 1 species